GAAACCAACCAUCCUCCGUCCUGCCUCUUUCUCUCUCUCUCUCCCUCAGACCUGGAACACAAACGGACACCGAAACCUGGAACACUUACCUCCUGGAUUUCCCUUGCCUCCUCCUCCGAACUGACCUCCCUCCCAAGAGCCUGACGAACCCACCGUUUUGCAUUCACUGUAAAUAAACAUCAUUUAACUUUU